GACGAACGCUGGCGGCGUGCCUAAUACAUGCAAGUAGAACGCUGAAGAGAGGAGCUUGCUCUUCUUGGCUGAGUUGCGAACGGGUGAGUAACGCGUAGGUAACCUGCCUUGUAGCGGGGGAUAACUAUUGGAAACGAUAGCUAAUACCGCAUAACAAUGGAUGACACAUGUCAUUUAUUUGAAAGGGGCAAUUGCUCCACUACAAGAUGGACCUGCGUUGUAUUAGCUAGUAGGUGAGGUAAUGGCUCACCUAGGCGACGAUACAUAGCCGACCUGAGAGGGUGAUCGGCCACGCUGGGACGGAGACACGGCCCAGACUCCUACGGGAGGCAGCAGUAGGGAAUCUUCGGCAAUGGGGGCAACCCUGACCGAGCAACGCCGCGUGAGGGAAGAAGGUUUUCGGAUCGUAAAGCUCAGUUGUAAGUCAAGAACGGGUGUGAGAGUGGAAAGUUCACACUGUGACGGUAGCUUACCAGAAAGGGACGGCUAACUACGUG
rnacentral:rRNA from 1 species